rnacentral:ncRNA from 1 species
UGCCAUAAGGGCUAGUUUUACCCUUAUGGCAUGAAUGUCGCAUGUCGCA